GUCACGCGAACGGCAACGGCUAUUGGUGGGUACCCUCACCCUCUGGCCUACCUCCACAACGGGAUAGUUGUGCGGGCUGUUUGCGGGUUCCGUAAUGUGCGCUGUGCGCACCUCGGGCUCGACACUGCGCUACCUCGCAGGACGACCGAAACACGGCUUUCGUGAUCGGCGUUCGGAUACGGUAGUCCGGAGCGAUCCGGCCAGUG
ncrna:unclassified sequences ilvB-OMG RNA